rnacentral:rRNA from 1 species
UACGAAGGGGGGCUAGCGUUGUUCGGAAUUACUGGGCGUAAAGCGCACGUAGGCGGCUUUGUAAGUUAGAGGUGAAAGCCCGGGGCUCAACUCCGGAAUUGCCUUUAAGACUGCAUCGCUAGAAUUGUGGAGAGGUAAGUGGAAUUCCGAGUGUAGAGGUGAAAUUCGUAGAUAUUCGGAAGAACACCAGUGGCGAAGGCGACUUACUGGACACAUAUUGACGCUGAGGUGCGAAAGCGUGGGGAGCAAACAGG